AAUGAACGCUGGCGGUAGGCCUAACACAUGCAAGUCGAACGGCAGCACAGUAAGAUCUUGCUCUUACGGGUGGCGAGUGGCGGACGGGUGAGGAAUACAUCGGAAUCUACUUUUUCGUGGGGGAUAACGUAGGGAAACUUACGCUAAUACCGCAUACGACCUACCGGUGAAAGCAGUGGAUCUUCGGACCUUGCGCGAUUGAAUGAGCCGAUGUCGGAUUAGCUAGUUGGCGGGGUAAAGGCCCACCAAGGCGACGAUCCGUAGCUGGUCUGAGAGGAUGAUCAGCCACACUGGAACUGAGACACGGUCCAGACUCCUACGGGAGGCAGCAGUGGGGAAUAUUCGACAAUGGGCGCAAGCCUGAUCCAGCCAUACCGCGUGGGUGAAGAAGGCCUUCGGGUUGUAAAGCCCUUUUGUUGGGAAAGAAAAGCAGCAGGUUAAUACCCCGCUGUUCUGACGGUACCCAAAGAAUAAGCACCGGCUAACUUCGUG
rnacentral:rRNA from 1 species